CCUACGGGCGACAGCAGUGAGGAAUAUUGGUCAAUGGGCUUACGCCUGAACCAGCCAAGUCGCGUGAGGGAAGACUGCCCUAUGGGUUGUAAACCUCUUUUGUCAGGGAGCAACGCCGGCUACGUGUAGCCGGACUGAGAGUACCUGAAGAAAAAGCAUCGGCUAACUCCGUGCCAGCAGCCGCGGUAAUACGGAGGAUGCGAGCGUUAUCCGGAUUUAUUGGGUUUAAAGGGUGCGUAGGCGGAAUGCCAAGUCAGCGGUAAAAUCGCGGGGCUCAACCUCGCUCCGCCGUUGAAACUGGCGUGCUUGAGUGGGCGAGAAGUAGGCGGAAUGCGUGGUGUAGCGGUGAAAUGCAUAGAUAUCACGCAGAACUCCGAUUGCGAAGGCAGCAUACCGGCGCCCAACUGACGCUGAAGCACGAAAGCGUGGGUAUCGAACAGGAUUAGAUACCCGGGUAGUC
rnacentral:rRNA from 1 species